UAGGGAAUCUUCCACAAUGGACGAAAGUCUGAUGGAGCAACGCCGCGUGAGUGAAGAAGGGUUUCGGCUCGUAAAACUCUGUUGUUAAAGAAGAACAUAUCUGAGAGUAACUGUUCAGCUAUUGACGGUAUUUAACCAGAAAGCCACGGCUAACUACGUGCCAA
rnacentral:rRNA from 1 species